GUGAACAGCGAUGUUGGUAGGAGCUUCCUGCAGCCGGGGUCCGGAGUGAGGACAACAUGGUUCAGAGGCCCCCAGGGGACCUGUGCACCUCGUCUGGCACAGAGAGAAGGAAAUACGGUUGGAAACACUGAAGUGUCGGGAUGUUUGUUACCAUAGCACGUUCUGCCUGGUCCCCUCUGUCUUACAGGACUCUUUCGAGGUCAUUGCCUGCAGGAAGAAUGUCUGGAAACCCUGCUGUCUGAGCUCCCACCACUCCUACUUCUUGGAGCCUCAGUUUCCUCAAGAAUGAAAGGGGCUCAGACUCCCACAUCAUGGAUUCAUGUCCAGUGAGGCGGACACAGCCCCUCACCAGGAUGAAAGGUGUGGCCAGUGGAACGUGGGGCUUGUUUUCAGGCCCCACUCCACGCACCUCCUUGGCCAGCCCCCUCAGGCAGUACACAGGUUGCUAACCAUUCACUGUGGCCCUGCCUGCCCACCGUUUGUCUCCUGGCUGAUUUGUCCUCGGCGUCAGAGUGUCACUCAGAGUGUGAAGCAUUGUUCCAGACAAGGUUUCCUGGAAAUGGUCGUCUACACUGCAAGCCCUACCUAGGGCUUCAGUGCUCGUGGCAAAGAUGUAAUAAUGUUUAAUCUCAUGUGUCCAAGUCCGCUGAAAGUCAAGCCUUAAAGGAAAUUUAAGAAAACUUCAUGGGCUGCUCAAGUCGACAGAAGCCUCAUCUUUUCCUGAUGAAUAAUUCAAGCUUUGGAGGAGGCUUUCCACCAAACAGUCUGGCAGGUAUUCCCGAAAUGUCGAGGACACUCCUCCUUCUCCCACGGGAGCACACCUGGUGAGAAGAUGGCGAAAAAAUUCUCAAAGUCUGAAAUGAAAGGGCUUCAGGACAAGAAUGAAACACAGACGGGACCAUAAGAACCUCUGUUAAAACCUCAGAAAGAUCUAACACUUCAUAAAGUCUUUCAGAUAGACAAAGGCC